AUUGAACGCUGGCGGCAUGCCUUACACAUGCAAGUCGAACGGUAACGGGCCUUCGGGUGCCGACGAGUGGCGAACGGGUGCGUAAUACAUCGGAACGUGCCCGAUCGUGGGGGAUAACGAGGCGAAAGCUUUGCUAAUACCGCGUACGAUCUACGGAUGAAAGCAGGGGACCGCAAGGCCUUGCGCGGACGGAGCGGCCGAUGGCAGAUUAGGUAGUUGGUGGGAUAAAAGCUUACCAAGCCGACGAUCUGUAGCUGGUCUGAGAGGAUGAUCAGCCACACUGGGACUGAGACACGGCCCAGACUCCUACGGGAGGCAGCAGUGGGGAAUUUUGGACAAUGGGCGCAAGCCUGAUCCAGCCAUGCCGCGUGCAGGAUGAAGGCCUUCGGGUUGUAAACUGCUUUUGUACGGAACGAAAAGCCUUCUUUUAAUACAGGAGGGUCAUGACGGUACCGUAAGAAUAAGCACCGGCUAACUACGUG
rnacentral:rRNA from 1 species